ACUUAGAUCUUAUAUUGUUCAUUUAAACUUAUAGGAAUAACUGUAGUAUGUUCAAUUGUAGCUGGCUGGAGUUAUUCUAUAUUGAAUUGCUUUUGUACAAUAGUGUAUUGAUUGAAAUCGGGAAUUUCAUGAGUUUGAAGUGUGUAGGAGCUUCGACAAAUUUGAUUAGUGUGAUGAAAUGGAAAAAAAUGAUUCAUAAACCCAAUCUACUCGAUUUGGACAAAAAGCUUAGUUUGGUGUGGUUUGGCUUUUUAAAUUGGCGCUUCAGUCUCCGUUUCAGAGUUCUUGCUUGUAGAUAAUGCUAUUAGUUUUUGGCGGGCCCAAGAAGGUAUAGUUAAGAUAUCUCUGGUGUCCUCUAUGCUUUGAGGCGUGUAUAGCUUAAAGAUCAACUUCAGGAAGGCUAGUUGAUUUUGCUCUUCCAUUCUUCAUAUAUUUUCUUGGUCCUCACAAUCUUAAUCAUUCUAGUCAGCCAAACAAUACCAUCAUUAUUUGCCCUCUCGGCCUUACUCAUUGGCUUUGAGCUUUGGGCCUUUCUUCUUGGAAUGUUAUAUGACACGUUUUCAAUCCUAGCCAUGCUUGUAAAGAAGAUUAAAAUAAAAUGCAUGCAGUGAUAAUUUGUUAGAUCAAUUAAGAUUGCCAAACUACAAAACUGAUCACUUUAUAGUAUUAUGAAUAUGUUUAAGGUUACCUGUUUACUCUGUUGCUUGAGUAAAAAUCUGACCUCUUCUACGUGCUGUCCUGGAACAAAAGCACCUGAUUUAGAAGAAGAUGAUAAAUUGUAUGAGGACUUCAAUAUGGAUGAAGUUGACUUGAAUAUUUAGAACUAUGAAGAAAUAUUUGGUGUAGCUCUUAAUGAUCCAGAACAACUGUUUGGUAAUGAUGGAAUUGGUAGCUUGUUUGGAGUGAAGGACAUAUCCGGUGCUGAUUUGAACUGUUGAGGCACAUAUGCAGCUGAGAGUAUGAAUCAAACGCCACCUGUGGGAAGAGAUUAUCAUCUAUUGGCCUGGACAACACUAAAGUGAACAGGCAGGCUUAUAGACAGCUUUUGUUGACUAAUCCUGGCCUGGGUGAGUAUAUUUCUGGUGCGAUUCUGUUUGAGAAGACACUUUACCAGUCAACAACAGACGGGAAGAAGUUUGUGAAUUGCUUGCGUGAGCAAAACAUUGUACCUGGAAUCAAAGUCAAUAAGGGUUUAGUUCCCCUACCAGGGUCCAACAAUGAAUCUUGGUGCUAGGGAUUAGAUGGAUUGGCUUCUAGAUCUGCCGAAUACUAUAAGCAAGGUGCUCGUUCAAGUCAAUAAGG